CUUAGAAAUUAUCCAUCUUGAAUCGUUUGGUAUAAAAAUAGAUUUCAGAAGUCCCAGGGCAGAUAUUACAAGAUUUCUAUGAAAAAGAAAUAAAGAAUAGAAGUAUAAACGUACAGGAAUGGUGAAGCAAGGAGGAUAAUGGAUGUUAGAAAUACUGGCAAAGAGGGCAAAAAUGUGCAGUUAGAUAAUGAUUACAUGAAUAUAAAUAUGGAAUAUUUAUUAAAUAGGAAAAUUAGGCCCUAAAAGAAGUCUUCUGUCACUGUUUUAAUAUCUCGGUUUUUGGUCAUUUCCAAAACCAGGAGUUGAAGUGGGAUCUAUGUUACCUUGGAGAUAUAGUUUGGAUGUGUGUUCCUGCCCAAAUCUUAUAUUGAAACGUAAUUUCCAAUGUUGGAGGUAGGGCCUGUUGGGAGGUGACUGGAUGAUGGUGGUGAAUUUCUCAUGAAUGGUUUAGUACCAUCUCCCUUGGCACUGUCCCUGCAAUAGUGAGUGAGUUCUUGUGAGAUCUGGUCAUUUUAAACUGUGUGACACCUCCCCCCUUGCACUUUUUUGCUCCUUCUUUCACCAUGCGACAUGCCUGCUCCCCCUUCACCUUCCACCAUGAUUGUAAGUUUCCUGAGGCCUCCCCAGAAGCUGAGCAGAUGCCAGCAUCAUACUUCCUGUACAGCCUGCAGAACCAAGAGGCGUACUACGCAAAGAGUAAGGGUGUGAACUGGAAGCUGGGAGAGCUGGCUUGAUUCCCUUCACCGGCCAUCACUGGAGUGCGUCACUUGAUAUCAAGGAUUUCCGUUUAUCAACUACGAAGUGAUGUCCCUUAGGUUGAUACAGCUAUGGAGAUUAUAGCUUUCAAAGUGUUUGAGAGGAACCAUAUUUUAUAAAUUCAACAUUGCUGACUGCUGAAGAAUUACAACCUAAAACAUACAGUGGGAAGCCAUGUAUCAGCAAGAAUACGGAUAAGCAGGGAUGAUUAUUUAACUGAAGCA
rnacentral:lncRNA from 1 species